rnacentral:rRNA from 1 species
UACGUAGGGUGCAAGCGUUGUCCGGAAUUAUUGGGCGUAAAGAGCUCGUAGGCGGUCUGUCGCGUCUGCUGUGAAAACCUAGGGCUUAACUCUGGGCGUGCAGUGGGUACGGGCAGGCUAGAGUGCGGUAGGGGAGACUGGAAUUCCUGGUGUAGCGGUGAAAUGCGCAGAUAUCAGGAGGAACACCGGUGGCGAAGGCGGGUCUCUGGGCCGGAACUGACGCUGAGGAGCGAAAGCGUGGGGAGCAAACAGG